rnacentral:lncRNA from 1 species
CGGUUGCAUUUUAUACUAUUUUUCUUGUUAUCACAAAAGAUAUACAGGUCAUGGUCAUAACAAUCAACUGAAGUACCGUUAUUUGUUUCAAGGCCAAAGCCAUGUAAACAUCACUAUAAAUAACUGGUCGAUCUAAGAAUAGGUGUUUUUACGUUGAACUCCCUACAGGUCUGGGUUAUAUGCACUUCACUUCAUUACUGUCAUUCUUAGUUUUUUUUUUUCUUUUUUCUUCUUUUUUUCUUGGAAGGAAAUGGUGGGGUAGUUGUUUUUUUUCUGACUUUUGCUUAACGUUAUUAUAAUUAGUUACGCUAUAUUUUUUAAUGUAUGUUAAAAGCAUAAUGAGGUAAAAUUUAACAAAUUAUCAUGAACAUGUUGCAUUUUGAAAGUUUAUAAAUGGCCGUGAACAACUUUUCAAAUAUGUACAAAACUGUUUAAGAUUUUUGUUAUUAUACAAGGAUUAAAUCUAUUUAAUGAGUUUUCGUGAGAAAACAAAAAUACAAGUCAUUUUACAUCAUCGUGGGUUAUUUUUGUAAAGCCUGUGACUUUUGUCGUAUAAAAGGCGAGACAUAGCGAUCCUACAUUCCUUAAACUAUCGUGAAAU